rnacentral:rRNA from 1 species
AACGAACGCUGGCGGCAUACCUAACACAUGCAAGUCGAACGAGACCUUCGGGUCUAGUGGCGCACGGGUGCGUAACGCGUGGGAACCUGCCGGUAGGUUCGGGAUAACUCCCCGAAAGGGGUGCUAAUACCGGAUAAUGUCUUCGGACCAAAGAUUUAUCGCCCUUGGAUGGGCCGGCGUUGGAUUAGCUUGUUGGUAGGGUAAAAGCCUACCAAGGCGACGAUCCAUAGCUGGUCUGAGAGGAUGAUCAGCCACACUGGGACUGAGACACGGCCCAGACUCCUACGGGAGGCAGCAGUGGGGAAUAUUGGACAAUGGGCGAAAGCCUGAUCCAGCAAUGCCGCGUGAGUGAUGAAGGCCUUAGGGUUGUAAAGCUCUUUUACCCGGGAUGAUAAUGACGGUACCGGGAGAAUAAGCUCCGGCUAACUCCGUG